rnacentral:tRNA from 1 species
GCCCGCCUAGCUCAGUCGGUAGAGCAUGAGACUCAUAAUCUCAGGGUCGUGGGUUCGAUCCCCACGUUGGGCG